ACAUGCCUACAACAUAGCAUUAAUGCACCAGAUCCCAUUAGAACUCCACAGUUAAGUGUGCUCAUGCUAGAGUAGUACUGGGAUGGGUGAUCACCCGAGAAGUCCUUUUGUUUUACAUGCC
rfam:Picea glauca, whole genome shotgun sequence.